CUGGGCAUAGGGUCAUCCGACCCGCCCAAACCGCCCUACCCGAACCGAACCGCACGCAUGUGGGCGGUUUCGCAAACACAUUAGGGUAGGGUGCGGUUUGGAUUUUAUAUGAAUUUCGGGUUGCGGGCGGGUUGCGGGUUUGAACCGCACCCGCCCAACCCGCCCGCAUUUAAUUUAAUUUUUUUUUUUUUUUUCCCUUCCAAACCAAAUCUAACCGUCCAUAUUUCUUUCACUCACCAACUCACUCAUAUAACAAAACAAAAGGAAAAAAAAAACCCUAAUAUCUAAUCCUAAUCGGCUUCUCCUCCUCCUCACUCACUCACUCUCUCUCUGAGUCACAUCUCACUCUCUUCCUCACUCUCUUCUCCUCGGUUCAGCAGUGUGCACACACACACCGAUUGGCGAUCGAUCACUCUCCUUCUCAGCCGAUCUACUUCAUUCAUUCACAGGUGAUCUAGCAGGUGAUCUCUGAAUUUUUUUAUCAUCACACAGCCGAUCUGCUUCAAAGGUGAUCUCUGAUUUUUUUCAUCAUCGCACAACCGAUUUUGAACACUGCACAGCCGAUCUACUUCACAUCACAGGGUUCAUCAACCAAAUGCAUGGAAUUGGAAUUUGUUAAAGUUGAAUUGGAUAUGAUUCAUGAAGAUGAAGUUUGAUAUUUUAGAAGUGUUUCAAUUUUAUUUCGUGGGUUUGUAUUGAAUGAAGUUUAAGUUUGACAAAUUUUUUUUUUUAAUUGCGUUUUGGUUUUGGAUGAAUGUAACUUAAUGCAUUUUUAUUUUUU